GAUGAACGCUGGCGGCGUGCUUAACACAUGCAAGUCGAACGAAGUGGCGAACGGGUGAGUAAUACGUGGGUAACCUGCCCUCCUUUUUCGGAUAAGCCUUGGAAACGGGGUCUAAUACCGAAUAAAGGGGGCUGGGCUCGCGGCCUAUCAGCUUGUUGGUGGGGUGAUGGCCUACCAAGGCGGUGACGGGUAGCCGGCCUGAGAGGGUGGCCGGGCACAUUGGGGCGGGGGUACGGGCCAGACUCAUACGGGAGGGAGCAGGGGGGGAUUAUGCAACAUGGGCGAAAGCCUGGUGCAGCGACGCCGCGUGGGGGAUGAAGGGUUUCGGGUUGUAAACCUUUUUCGGUAACGAACGGGUAGGUGGAGAAGAAGAGCCGGCGAACUACGUGCCAGCCGCCGCGGUAAUAC
rnacentral:rRNA from 1 species